rnacentral:rRNA from 1 species
UUUUUCGAGAGUUUGAUCCUGGCUCAGGAUGAACGCUGGCGGCGUGCAUAACACAUUCAAGUCGAACGGACUUUGUCGGAUUAAUUCUUCGGAAAGCGUGCGAUAAAGUUAGUGGCGGACGGGUGAGUAACGCGUGAGCAACCUGCCUUUGAUAGGGGGAUAACAGAGGGAAACUUCUGCUAAUACCGCAUGAUGCAUGGGGAUCGCAUGGAACCCAUGCCAAAGGAGCAAUCCGAUCAAAGAUGGGCUCGCGUCCGAUUAGAUAGUUGGUGGGGUAACGGCCCACCAAGUCGACGAUCGGUAGCCGGACUGAGAGGUUGAACGGCCACAUUGGAACUGAGAGACGGUCCAGACUCCUACGGGAGGCAGCAGUGGGGAAUAUUGGGCAAUGGACGAAAGUCUGACCCAGCG